CCUACGGGAGGCAGCAGUGGGGAAUAUUGGGCAAUGGGCGCAAGCCUGACCCAGCAACGCCGCGUGAAGGAAGAAGGCUCUCGGGUUGUAAACUUCUUUUAUCAGGGACGAAGCAGGUGACGGUACCUGAUGAAUAACCCACGGCUAACUUCGGGCCAGCCGCCGCGGUAAUACGUAGGUGGCAAGCGUUAUCCGGAUUUACUGGGUGUAAAGGGCGGGUAGGCGGGAUAGCAAGUCAGAUGUGAAAACCAUGGGCUCAACCUGUGGACUGCAUUUGAAACUGUUUUUCUUGAGUGCUGGAGAGGCAGACGGAAUUCCUAGUGUAGCGGUGAAAUGCGUAGAUAUUAGGAGGAACACCAGUGGCGAAGGCGGUCUGCUGGACAGCAACUGACGCUGAGGAGCGAAAGCGUGGGUAGCAAACAGGAUUAGAUACCCCAGUAGUC
rnacentral:rRNA from 1 species